rnacentral:rRNA from 1 species
UACGUAGGGGGCAAGCGUUGUCCGGAAUCAUUGGGCGUAAAGGGCGCGUAGGCGGCUUUGCAAGUGACGGGUGAAAGCCCUCGGCUUAACCGAGGAACUGCCUGUCAGACUGUGAGGCUUGAGACCGGGAGAGGUGAGUGGAAUUCCCAGUGUAGCGGUGAAAUGCGUAGAUAUUGGGAGGAACACCAGUGGCGAAGGCGGCUCACUGGACCGGAACUGACGCUGAGGCGCGAAAGCGUGGGGAGCAAACAGG